UGCGUAGGGUGCAAGCGUUGUCCGGAAUUAUUGGGCGUAAAGAGCUCGUAGGCGGUUUGUCGCGUCUGCUGUGAAAACUCGGGGCUCAACUCCGAGCUUGCAGUGGGUACGGGCAGACUAGAGUGCGGUAGGGGAGACUGGAAUUCCUGGUGUAGCGGUGGAAUGCGCAGAUAUCGGGAGGAACACCUGAGGCGAAGGCGGGCUACUGGGCCGAUACUGACGCUGAUGCGCGAAAGCCAGGGGAGCGAACGGG
rnacentral:rRNA from 1 species